rnacentral:rRNA from 1 species
UCGGGAAUUUUGGGCAAUGGGCGAAAGCCUGACCCAGCAACGCCGCGUGAAGGAUGAAGUAUUUCGGUAUGUAAACUUCGAAAGAAUAGGAAGAAUAAAUGACGGUACUAUUUAUAAGGUCCGGCUAACUACGUGCCAGCAGCCGCGGUAAUACGUAGGGACCAAGCGUUGUUCGGAUUUACUGGGCGUAAAGGGCGCGUAGGCGGCAAUUCAAGUCAUCUGUGAAAUCUCCGGGCUUAACUCGGAACGGUCAGAUGAUACUGCUUUGCUAGAGUGCAGAAGGGGCAAUCGGAAUUCUUGGUGUAGCGGUGAAAUGCGUAGAUAUCAAGAGGAACACCUGAGGUGAAGACGGGUUGCUGGGCUGACACUGACGCUGAGGUGCGAAAGCGUGGGGAGCAAACAGGAUUAGAUACCCGUGUAGUCCCUGAGCGGGCUGGCAAGGCGCAU